rnacentral:lncRNA from 1 species
CUUGAUAGAUGCUUAGCUAAUGAUCUUUGGAUUCACUUAUACCCUGAGGCCUUAAUCACCAACCUCCCUAGAACUCACUCUGAUCACUCUCCUCUCCUCCUGAACUUAGGCUCUACUCUUGCCAACUAGAUUAAUCCCUUUAGGGUUGAAUCUAUGUGGCUUAGUCAUCAUGACUUCCCCAAUCUGAUCAGAUAUUCCUUCCUUAAAUGUCCUUGCAUCACUAUCGCUACCUCAGACUUUGAAGAGAAGGCCAG